CGCCGGACGCCGCCGAACCGCGGGCCGGUCGAUGACCGGUGCGCGGACCGGGGACCCACCGCAGCACUGGGGUGAAGCGCGAUCCGUCGCGCCGGGCGACUCCCCCGUCCGAACCCGUCAGCUAACCCGGUAGGCGGUCGUGGAGAACAGGA
rnacentral:sRNA from 1 species